rnacentral:snoRNA from 1 species
GGCCGGUUGAUGAUUUUAAAUUAAAUGGAAUUACCGUCUGAUUCUAUCUGAAGAGAAAUGGCUGCCUGACGGCUCAU